rnacentral:rRNA from 1 species
UGGGGAAUAUUGCACAAUGGGCGCAAGCCUGAUGCAGCAACGCCGCGUGAACGAUGAAGGUCUUCGGAUCGUAAAGUUCUGUUGCAGGGGAAGAUAAUGACGGUACCCUGUGAGGAAGCCCCGGCUAACUACGUGCCAGCAGCCGCGGUAAUACGUAGGGGGCUAGCGUUAUCCGGAUUUACUGGGCGUAAAGGGUGCGUAGGUGGUCUUUCAAGUCGGUGGUUAAAGGCUACGGCUCAACCGUAGUUAGCCUCCGAAACUGGAAGACUUGAGUGCAGGGGAGGAAAGUGGAAUUCCCAGUGUAGCGGUGAAAUGCGUAGAUAUUGGGAGGAACACCAGUAGCGAAGGCGGCUUUCUGGACUGCAACUGACACUGAGGCACGAAAGCGUGGGUAGCAAACAGG